GCAGGAAAACUUAUAUCCGUUUCACCUAAUUUCUUCCAGCAUGUCACCUGUGCAACUAGAGGCAAACAACUCUAGAUCACUUACACACACAGAAAUGCUGUGACGUCUACUCCCGCUCCUCCCCUCCGACGUCGCCAGUAUACUAACCACUGUUCCUGGCAUCCUUCAAUACGCACACCUGGCACCAAUCAUUACGUGCACCUGCACUUCAUCAUGAGGCACACCUGGACUCCAUUACCUCACUUAUUACCCUAUAUGUGGCACUCCCUUAGGUUCUUUCCCCAGUCAGUAUUGUUUCUGUGUGAAGACACCACUAUGAAUGUGUCUCGUUCCAUGUUUGUUGGUUUAUUAAACAUAUCACCUGCUUCUCAACUCUCAGCAUAUUUGUUACAGAAUACUGACUCAAACAAUGGAAGCAGCAGGAAAACUGAAUAUCUCCCAGACAGUCGACGAGCAGGGAUACCUUCUUCGUCAACACCACGACCAGCUGGCACAACUGGAGACAGCUAUGGAAGAGGUUCUUCGCAGUGUGCAACAUCUUGAGCAUACCCGGGAGGUGUUUCAGUGAACUAGCAGAGGAUACUCUACAACCAGUCAACCCAGCACAACAGCCCAUUCAGCAACAAGCUCAGGCCAGUGGUUCCUGGACUCCUAGCUGAUACUGUCCCCCCCCCCCCCCCCCCCCCGGACAUCAAGGGGGGUCCAGCCUAUGCCGUCAGAUCCCUACUGGACUCCCAAUGUUGUGGGGGUCGUGGAGGACAUUCUGGAUCCCAACAUCAUCCUUGAUUUUCACUUUUGCCGCUGUGGCUAGAGCUGCGCGUCGAGGGUGGUACUGUCACAUCUACUCCCGCUCCCACUCCUCCCCUCCGGCGUUCAACGUCACCGGUAUACUAACCACCGGUCCUGGCAUCCAUCAUUACGCACACCUGCACUUCAUGGGGCACACCUAGACUCCAUUACCCUAUAUGUGCACUCCCUUGGGAAAAAAAACCUAAGUCGGUAUUGUUUCUGUAUCUAUGUUAAGACGCCACUACGAUGUUGUCUCGUUCCAUGUUCGUUGGUUUAUUAAACGUACCACCUGC